GAUGAACGCUGGCGGCGUGCCUAAUACAUGCAAGUCGAGCGAACGGACGAGAAGCUUGCUUCUCUGAUGUUAGCGGCGGACGGGUGAGUAACACGUGGAUAACCUACCUAUAAGACUGGGAUAACUUCGGGAAACCGGAGCUAAUACCGGAUAAUAUUUUGAACCGCAUGGUUCAAAAGUGAAAGACGGUCUUGCUGUCACUUAUAGAUGGAUCCGCGCUGCAUUAGCUAGUUGGUAAGGUAACGGCUUACCAAGGCAACGAUGCAUAGCCGACCUGAGAGGGUGAUCGGCCACACUGGAACUGAGACACGGUCCAGACUCCUACGGGAGGCAGCAGUAGGGAAUCUUCCGCAAUGGGCGAAAGCCUGACGGAGCAACGCCGAGUGAGUGAUGAAGGUCUUCGGAUCGUAAAACUAUGUUAUUAGGGAAGAACAUAUGUGUAAGUAACUGUGCACAUCUUGACGGUACCUAAUCAGAAAGCCACGGCUAACUACGUG
rnacentral:rRNA from 1 species